GAUGAAGAACGUAGCGAAAUGCGAUACGUAAUGUGAAUUGCAGAAUUCAGUGAAUCAUCGAGUCUUUGAACGCACAUUGCGCCCCCUGGUAUUCCGGGGGGCAUGCCUGUCCGAGCGUCAUUGCUGCCCUCAAGCACGGCUUGUGUGUUGGGCCUCCGUCCUCCUCCCGGGGGACGGGCCCGAAAGGCAGCGGCGGCACCGCGUCCGGUCCUCGAGCGUAUGGGGCUUCGUCACCCGCUCUUGUAGGCCCGGCCGGCGCUUGCCGACACAUCAAUCUUUUUUCCAGGUUGACCUCGGAUCAGGUAGGGAUACCCGCAGAACUUAAGCAUAUCAAUAAGCGGAGGA
rnacentral:misc_RNA from 1 species